AAACAAUUAGGUCUGAGAGACUUCCUUAGCAAUCUACAAUGCCUUCCUCCUCUACACCGAGGCAGUGCUUGCGCAGUUUUGAGAGAGGGUCCUGCGGAAAGCCCAGGCCAGUUCUCGCGGCCUCUGGGCUGGACCAGGCUCUGCUCUGAGCGCGCUGCUCGGCGGCCCCGCGGGCGAGCCUACCGCUUCCCACGGCGACUCGGGCUCCAGCGCCAGGCGCUGGCGCGGACCCGCUUCCGUUCCGGGAGAGCGAGGGGCCCGAAACUUCACCUUCGCCCUGGACCUCAGAACACCGACCCGAGGCCGAAGCAAAGGUGUGGUUCAAGCCGGACAGAAAGGACGGCGCUGCUCCUCCCGGCCGGGGACCUGCGCGUUGCGGCCCCGCGGGAUGCGGUGGCCCCUGGGCCGCGCGCUGAGCUUCCCCGCACUCGGGCCGCGCGCCUCCGGUCCUCGGGGUCCGGCCCGGAGGCCUGAGCUCGCGCCCCAAGCCCUGGCCGGGAAGAUGCCAUCCCGGCCCGCGGCGACCCGAGCCCGAGGCGGGAGCCAGACGGCGCCGCCGGACUCGGGCGAGGGGUAAGGCCGGGCUGGGACCCCAUUUAGGGAAACGGCCUGCUCCAGAGGAAGUCCCCAAGUGUCAAGUGGCCCCGGGAAGGCUCCGCGGGGUUGCGGGGACUCCACAGUGCAGUUCGGUCCCGCGAGUGUCUCUCCAGCCCUCGCCUUCUCCCCUCCACUCCCCUCUCCACAGCCCCCGCCCCGCGCCAGUCCCGGGCGGCGGAGGCGAAGCCCACCGAGCCUAGAGAGAGCGAAGCCGCCCCCUGCUGGCCAGAUGAGGCAGGCGCGGCCAACAGCUCCGCUCCCCUCCGUCCCGCCGGCGCGCCUGCCCGGACCCAGCGCGACCCUCCUGUGCCCCCAGCGAGGGGGACGUGUUCAAAGAAACAGAAAACAAAACAAAAACAAACCAAGGGCCAAAACCACUCUCACCUCGUUUGCUGCUCAAAGUGAUCAGAGAACAAAGGAAUCCUUGAAGAAAGUGAGACUCAAAGCAUCGCAGGAUAUAUGAUUUCUGAUUCUUUGUUCAGAAAACAAGGGCAUCCAUGCCAGCCAGUGCUUCGAUGGUGAGAAAAUUACUCUGCUUCAUGAAGGAGAACUGCCAGAAGACCAAUAGUCCUCAUAUCCCUUCACAGUUCCCUCACAGAUUCCUUUGAGACUGUGAAGGAGAACAAAAGAAGAAGAGGAGGAAAAGAAGAAGGAGGAGAAGGAGAAAGAGGAACAAGAGGAAGAAGAAGAGGAGACUCCUGAUGAAUUCCACCUUAAGCCUGAAAAACAGAUAUUCUUAAAUCCUGCUCAUAUUACAUACAUGCCUUUGAAUUCUACGCUGGGGCUGCCCUCUUUGUUUAUUUUUACUUGUCCAUAUUACUUACAGGAUAGGUUAAUGUGGACUUUUACAUCUUCAAAGAAGUCUUUACUGACCACUACAGUCUAGUCUCGGUGUCCCUUCCACAUGCUACCAUUGCACCUGCUGCUUUUGUCUCAACUCCAUAUGCUGUGACAGUGGCUCUAAUUUCUUGUUUUACUUUCCCUCCAAGUACGUAUGGUCUGAAAAGAUAGACAGUACUGCAUGCCCAGUCUGUACCACAAUGCUAGCGUAUUGUAGGUGCCUAAUGAUAUUCAUGUGAUCGUUCAUCACUCAGUGAAUGGGUGAGCUGUGCAGGUACCUGCAAUGCAAUGCCCAGAUUCUGGAGGACAUAUGUUCAUCUCCAGUGGAAAUACAAGCUUAAAAUAUACAAAGUGAAAGGUUACAC
ensembl:lncRNA